rnacentral:lncRNA from 1 species
AGAGUGUAAGAACUCAUGGCCAUUUGAAAGAGCCAUGGUGACAGCAGCACAUCCCUCUACCCAGAGGAGGAGAGAACAGAAGGAAGGAAGAGGGCUUUGGCACGUGCACAGGAAAACACGGAAAGCCCGACUCUUCGUAUCCUGAAUUUAAUUGACCAAGAACUUGUAAAAAUACCAAGUCCCAGUGUCAGUAAUACCACAACACCAUGCGGCGGUCCCAAAGCUGGUGGGAAAAUGCUGUGGUGG